rnacentral:rRNA from 1 species
GAUGAACGCUGGCGGCGUGCUUAACACAUGCAAGUCGAACGAAACACCUUAUCUGAUUUUCUUCGGAACUGAAGAUUUGGUGAUUGAGUGGCGGACGGGUGAGUAACGCGUGGGUAACCUGCCCUGUACAGGGGGAUAACAGUCAGAAAUGACUGCUAAUACCGCAUAAGACCACAGCACCGCAUGGUGCAGGGGUAAAAACUCCGGUGGUACAGGAUGGACCCGCGUCUGAUUAGCUGGUUGGUGAGGUAACGGCUCACCAAGGCGACGAUCAGUAGCCGGCUUGAGAGAGUGAACGGCCACAUUGGGACUGAGACACGGCCCAAACUCCUACGGGAGGCAGCAGUGGGGAAUAUUGCACAAUGGGGGAAACCCUGAUGCAGCGACGCCGCGUGAGUGAAGAAGUAUCUCGGUAUGUAAAGCUCUAUCAGCAGGGAAGAAAAUGACGGUAC